rnacentral:rRNA from 1 species
CCUACGGGUGGCAGCAGUAGGGAAUAUUGCUCAAUGGGGGAAACUCUGAAGCAGCAACGCCGCGUGGAGGAUGAAGGUUUUCUGAUUGUAAACCUCUUUUGUUAGGGAAGAUAAUGACGGUAUCUAACGAAUACUCACCGGCUAACUCCGUGCCAGCAGCCGCGGCAAUACGGAGGGUGCAAGCGUUACACGGAAUCACUGGGCGUAAACCGCGCGUAGGCGGGAUAGCAAGUCAGAUGUGAAAUCCUUUGGCUUAACCAUAGAACUGCAUUUGAAACUGUUAGUCUAGAGAGUGGGCGCGGUAGGUGGAAUUGUUGGUGUAGCGGUAAAAUCCGUAGAGAUCA